rnacentral:rRNA from 1 species
GCCUUCGGGUUGUAAAGCUCUUUCGCAAGGGAAGAAAACUUAUGAUCGAAUAAAUCAUGAGGUUGACGGUACCUUGAUAAGAAGCACCGGCUAACUACGUGCCAGCAGCCGCGGUAAUACGUAGGGUGCGAGCGUUAAUCGGAAUUACUGGGCGUAAAGCGUGCGCAGGCGGUUUUGUAAGUCGGAUGUGAAAUCCCCGGGCUCAACCUGGGAACUGCGUUCGAAACUGCAAGGCUAGAGUGUGUCAGAGGGGGGUAGAAUUCCACGUGUAGCAGUGAAAUGCGUAGAGAUGUGGAGGAAUACCAAUGGCGAAGGCAGCCCCCUGGGAUAACACUGACGCUCAUGCACGAAAGCGUGGGGAGCAAACAGGCAUUAGAUACCCUGGUAGUCCACGCCC